rnacentral:rRNA from 1 species
AUUGAACGCUGGCGGCAGGCCUAACACAUGCAAGUCGAGCGGAUGAAGGGAGCUUGCUCCUGGAUUCAGCGGCGGACGGGUGAGUAAUGCCUAGGAAUCUGCCUGGUAGUGGGGGAUAACGUCCGGAAACGGGCGCCAAUACCGCAUACGUCCUGAGGGAGAAAGUGGGGGAUCUUCGGACCUCACGCUAUCAGAUGAGCCUAGGUCGGAUUAGCUAGUUGGUGGGGUAAAGGCCUACCAAGGCGACGAUCCGUGACUGGUCUGAGAGGAUGAUCAGUCACACUGGAACUGAGACACGGUCCAGACUCCUACGGGAGGCAGCAGUGGGGAAUAGUGGACAAUGGGCGAAAGCCUGAUCCAGCCAUGCCGCGUGUGUGAAGAAGGUCUUCGGAUUGUAAAGCACUUUAAGUUGGGAGGAAGGGCAGUAAGUUAAUACCUUGCUGUUUUGACGUUACCAACAGAAUAAGCACCGGCUAACUUCGUG